ACCGACCGGAUACCAGCACAGCCCAAAGGGGGAAGUGGCUACAAGCACAGUUAGGCCCCUGAGUCGCGAUGCUCAGGGGUCCCUCUAGACGUACGAGCAACUCCAAUAUCCCUACUAAGAAGCUGACAAUUUGAGACUCCCGAACUCCUUUGGCACUCUGCGUCGACAGGGCCCUCCUCGUGCGUACCUUCGCCGCCAUCGGACCGCCUGGGCGGCCCA
rnacentral:lncRNA from 1 species